rfam:Ciona savignyi cont_31775, whole genome shotgun sequence.
GCCCGGUUAGCUCAGCCGGUAGAGCGUUGGAAUUUUAAUCCAAAGGCCAAGGUUUCAAGUCCCUUAUCGGACU